rnacentral:tRNA from 1 species
GGGGCCGUCGUCUAGCCUGGUAGGAUGCGUGGCUUGGGCCCACGUGGUCCCGGGUUCAAAUCCCGGCGGCCCCACCA